AUUGAGUUUGGAUCUUGAGACUCCCUUCAAAUACAAAACUUUGGCAUAUACAUAAAGCAUAAAGUAAUUAUGGCAUAUACAAACACAACCUGGGGGAGAUAUGGUAACAUGGUUUAUACAGACAGAGGGCAUGUCUCACCCAUCAUUCUAAGUUAUCUGAAAAGGCAAACAAGCAGGGCACAUGAGGUAAAUUUUCAAACCCUUUGGACAGGGUUUUGCAUAAAAACGGUUUCUGAAAACAGUUAACAUGAGAUUAAGGAAGAAUUUUCUCAUGAAAAAAGGGAUAUAAUAAGUAGAUCUCUGUUUUUCCACUGGAGAAGUUUCUAAAGUAUCUAGUAAUUGGCAUUAGGUAGGUUUUCUGUUCAAUGUAAAAACUACCUUAGAAAUAGUACAGGCAUGCAUAUAUACACAAAAUCUACAGAAGCUAUCUGUCUCUUUCUGGGGUGGGAAGGUUGAUGGAGAUGGGUCUCUUGGGAACUCAUCAAAAUGAUGCACUUACAUUUGCACCAAACUGGUUUGUCUUGUCUGCAACCACUUGUACAAGUUUGACUACUAUAUCCUGAAUAGGACAUGACUGACAAAUAGCAAUGAUAAGCAGG